GACGAACGCUGGCGGCGUGCUUAACACAUGCAAGUCGAACGGAAAGGCCCUGCUUUUGUGGGGUGCUCGAGUGGCGAACGGGUGAGUAACACGUGAGUAACCUGCCCUUGACUUUGGGAUAACUUCAGGAAACUGGGGCUAAUACCGGAUAGGAGCUCCUGCUGCAUGGUGGGGGUUGGAAAGUUUCGGCGGUUGGGGAUGGACUCGCGGCUUAUCAGCUUGUUGGUGGGGUAGUGGCUUACCAAGGCUUUGACGGGUAGCCGGCCUGAGAGGGUGACAGGCCACAUUGGGACUGAGAUACGGCCCAGACUCCUACGGGAGGAAGCAGUGGGGAAUAUUGCACAAUGGGCGGAGGCCUGAUGCAGCAACGCCGCGUGCGGGAUGACGGCCUUCGGGUUGUAAACCGCUUUCGCCUGUGACGAAGCGUGAGUGACGGUAAUGGGUAAAGAAGCACCGGCUAACUACGUG
rnacentral:rRNA from 1 species